CCUACGGGAGGCAGCAGUGGGGAAUAUUGCACAAUGGGCGAAAGCCUGAUGCAGCGAUGCCGCGUGCGGGAAGAAGGCCUUAGGGUUGUAAACCGCUUUCAGUAGGGAAGAAAAUGACGGUACCUACAGAAGAAGGUGCGGCCAACUACGUGCCAGCAGCCGCGGUGACACGUAGGCACCAAGCGUUGUCCGGAUUUAUUGGGCGUAAAGAGCUCGUAGGCGGUUUGGUAAGUCGGGUGUGAAAACUCUGGGCUCAACCCAGAGAGGCCACUCGAUACUGCUAUGACUUGAGUACGGUAGGGGAGUGGGGAAUUUCUAGUGUAGCGGUGAAAUGCGCAGAUAUUAGAAGGAACACCAGUGGCGAAGGCGCCACUCUGGGCCGUAACUGACGCUGAGGAGCGAAAGCAUGGGUAGCAAACAGGAUUAGAUACCCUGGUAGUCCAUGCCGUAAACGUUGGGCACUAGGUGUGGGUCUCAACCAACGAGAUCCGCGCCGUCGCUAACGCAUUAAGUGCCCCGCCUGGGGAGGUACGGUCGCGAGAACGUAAACGUUAAAGUAAAGUUAGUAACGGUCGUGUUAGACGUGCCGACGGACGACGACGAGGGAGGAGG
rnacentral:rRNA from 1 species